AAGUCAAAAACACAGCACUGAACCAGCUACCAAGGAGGAGAAAAAUGACUGCUACUGCUGAACCCAGGACAUUUAAGAACACAUUCUCUCCACUUCUACUGUUAUGCAGCUCAGGGAAUUUCUGGUAUCAAUAUGUUUGACAUAUCUAAUUUUUGGUUGGUACUAAGCUUUAUAAACCUUGGCUAAGGCAUGAAAAUACCUUAUGAAAUAAUUAAAGUGCUUUGAGCAGAUACAGAUCUUGCUGAAAUGGUAUGCUAAAAAGGUCAGAAGGUACUGCUCCAUUCUGUCCAUAUUGAUAAAAUCUAGAAAACACCACUGACUUUAGUGGUAUUUACUGACAGGUCUCGUGUUACCCUGGUUUAAAUUGGGGUGCAUUUUUGCUUUGUGCCUUUGAUUCCUACAUUUUCCAUCACUGUUUAUCUUCUACCCAUCUUUUUUCUUUAAUUUCUUGCUGUUUGCUUCUCUUUGUUAUUUCCAAAUUUUCAUCUGAGCUGUCAGAGCAGAAGCAAAGUGGGAAGCAUUUAAUUAGAAGAGAGAGGAAAGGGCAGAAGUAUUAAUUCACUCGUGCUCAGAAAGGCAUCUAUUUCUGUAGAUGAAAACUUUGAAAAAUAAUGAAAAUUACUACAUCUCUCUCUCUGAUCUUGAUGAAGUAUUUAGAGAAUAAUUUUUCAGCCAUGAAAAUUACAUAGUGAUCUUAAGGUACUUUACAUUGGUAUGGUUUGGUCAUAUAAAUUUCAAAAUAAUGCAUUACUAUAAUGACUUAUAGUUAGCCAUGUUAAUUAAGAUAGUUAGUUUGUCUGUCCAAUAACCAGGUCCUUCUCCACAAUAUGCUGAAGUUUUAAUUAUCCCUCUGAUUCUGCUAACCUUUAACUGGCAAGCAUUCAUUUGAAUUUUUUUCCAAUGCAUGCUGUCCUUUGUGGAAAUUGUCUUUACAAGUUCUCAGUAUUUUAACAAUUCAUGGUACAGCCUUGCAAAGGGAAGAUUUGUCUCUGAUCAAUUUCAUCAAGCUCUAAAGUAAGUUGCAAAGACAAUCUAGCUCCUAUUUUGCAACUAAUCUGACUCUGUCUGUAAAGGAUGUGAAAAAUGUCCAAAUCUAAGCCAUACAAUGAAGCCAUCCAUUCUAGCAAUGGCAAAGUACUAUUAAUUUAAUCUUAGUAGUCUGGAUGAUUGUGACAGCCAGUGGCAGUAUUACACAGUGAAAGAACCAUGAAUCAUUUUGGUUGGAAAAGACCUUUAAGAUCAUGAAGUCCAAUCAUUAACCUAACACAGCCAAGUCCACCACUAAACCAUGUCCCUUUGCACCAUAUCUACACUUCUUUUAAAUACUUCCAGGGAUGGCCACUCAAACACUUCCCUGGGCAGCCUGUUCCAAUGCCUUGACCAAUGCCUUUCAGUGAAGAAAUUUCUGCUUAUAUUCAGUCUAAACCUCCCCUGGGACAAACUGAGUCAUUUUGUCCUAUCGCUUGUGUGGCACAAAAGACCAACAUCCCACACACACUACAACCUCCUUUCAGGUAGUUGUAGAGAACAGGAAGAUCUCCCCUCAGAGUUCUCCAGGCUAAACAACCCCAGUUCCCUCAGCUGCUCCUCGUAAGUUCUCCAGACUCGUAAGUUUCUCUGGUUCUCCAUACCCUUCCCCAGCUUUGUUGCCCUUCUCUGGACCUGCCCCAGCACCUCAAUGUCCUUUUUGUAGUGAGGAGCCCAGAACUGAACACAGUAUUCAAGGUGCAGCCUCACCAGCACCCAGUACAGGGGGGUGAUCACUACCCUGGCCCUUCAGGCCACACUACUGCCGGUACAGGCCAGGGUGCUGUUGGCUUUCUUGGCCACCUGGGAACACUGCUGCUCAUGUUCAGCCGGCACAUGUGGAUGGCCUGCUCUUUCAGAUUUCCUUCUUGAAGCAUGCCCAGCCUUCCUGGACUCCUUUGUCAUUCAGGACUGCCUCCCAAAAGUGACUCUAUCAACCAGUCUUCUAAAUAGGCUCAAGUCUGCUCUCUGCAAGUACAAGGUAACUGUUCUGCUAACCUCUUACUUGCUUCUCCAAGAAUCAAAAACUCUGUAAUUUCGUGAUCACUGUGCCCAUGAUGGACUCCAUUAUUAAUGGGAAGGGCUUUGACAGGCUAGCAACUUGCGUACCCAGGGAAUUCAAAAGACUUGAGCUGGGCAAUUUAUGGCUUUGUAUUGUUGCCAGAAACCUGUAAAAAUGCUAACUUUUAUGCAGUAAUCUUGUUCAGCAUACUAAGGAGCUCAAAAGACAAAGUUCUAACAAGGGAAAACACAUAAAACAUAAAAAAAGGCUCACUAAGUGUCUUUCCUGAAAGAAGUUUUAUGGCUGCACAGCAUGAGUGGUUGCUUCAGGGAAAAACAAACCAACAA